AGUGAACGCUGGCGGUAGGCCUAACACAUGCAAGUCGAACGGCAGCACAGUAAGAGCUUGCUCUUACGGGUGGCGAGUGGCGGACGGGUGAGGAAUACAUCGGAAUCUACUUUUUCGUGGAGGAUAACGUAGGGAAACUUACGCUAAUACCGCAUACGACCUACGGGUGAAAGCAGGGGAUCUUCGGACCUUGCGCGAUUGAAUGAGCCGAUGUCGGAUUAGCUAGUUGGCGGGGUAAAGGCCCACCAAGGCGACGAUCCGUAGCUGGUCUGAGAGGAUGAUCAGCCACACUAGAACUGAGACACGGUCCAGACUCCUACGGGAGGCAGCAGUGGGGAAUAUUGGACAAUGGGCGCAAGCCUGAUCCAGCCAUACCGCGUGGGUGAAGAAGGCCUUCGGGUUGUAAAGCCCUUUUGUUGGGAAAGAAAAGCAGCAGGUUAAUACCCCGCUGUUCUGACGGUACCCAAAGAAUAAGCACCGGCUAACUUCGUG
rnacentral:rRNA from 1 species